rnacentral:rRNA from 1 species
GACGAACGCUGGCGGCGUGCCUAAUACAUGCAAGUAGAACGCUGAAGGAAGGAGCUUGCUCUUUCUGGAUGAGUUGCGAACGGGUGAGUAACGCGUAGGUAACCUGCCUGGUAGCGGGGGAUAACUAUUGGAAACGAUAGCUAAUACCGCAUAAAAUUGAUUAUUGCAUGAUAGUCAAUUAAAAGGUGCAACUGCACCACUACCAGAUGGACCUGCGUUGUAUUAGCUAGUUGGUGGGGUAACGGCUCACCAAGGCGACGAUACAUAGCCGACCUGAGAGGGUGAUUGGCCACACUGGGACUGAGACACGGCCCAGACUCCUACGGGAGGCAGCAGUAGGGAAUCUUCGGCAAUGGACGGAAGUCUGACCGAGCAACGCCGCGUGAGUGAAGAAGGUUGUCGGAUCGUAAAGCUCUGUUGUAAGAGAAGAACGAGUGUGAGAGUGGAAAGUUCACACUGUGACGGUAUCUUACCAGAAAGGGACGGCUAACUACGUG